GACGAACGCUGGCGGCGUGCUUAACACAUGCAAGUCGAACGAUGAACCAGGGCUUGCCCUGGGGAUUAGUGGCGAACGGGUGAGUAACACGUGGGCAACCUGCCCCAGACACCGGGAUAACCUCUCGAAAGAGUGGCUAAUACCGGAUACGACCACUUUGGGCAUCCAACGGUGGUGGAAAGGAUUCUGGUCUGGGAUGGGCCCGCGGCCUAUCAGCUUGUUGGUGGGGUAAUGGCCUACCAAGGCGACGACGGGGAGCCGGCCUGAGAGGGCGACCGGCCACACGGGGACUGAGACACGGCCCAGACUCCUACGGGAGGCAGCAGUGGGGAAUAUUGCGCAGUGGGCGAAAGCCUGACGCAGCGACGCCGCGUGAGGGACGAAGGUCUUCGGAUUGUAAACCUCUUUCAGCAGGGACGAAGCGAAAGUGACUGUACCUGCAGAAGAAGCACCGGCUAACUACGUGCCAGCAGCCGCAGUAA
rnacentral:rRNA from 1 species